rnacentral:rRNA from 1 species
AGAAUGGCAAUAGCCUAACGGCUGAACCAGCAACUUGAAGGAAUGUAUAGCGAAAGCUAGUUGUGCUUACAUUUCUAGGUUUCUUCAGAAAUUUUUUUUUCUGAAUAAAUAAGAAAAAGGAGAAGUGCAAUCUUGACUCGAUCAAAUAAAGUUCUAGGUAGAGUUAUGAUGAUGACAUACUCUAUCUAUGUGUCUUGACCAAAUUACGUGCCAGCAGUCGCGGUAAUACGUAAAAGACUAGUGUUAUUCAUCUUUAAUGGGUUUAAAGGGUACCUAGACGGCUAAUAAAGCUCCAAAAGAGGACUAAUUAGCUAGAGUUUAAUGUAAAUAGGCAAUAAAGUACUGAUAGUAUAGAGAUGAAAUUCUAGGAUACUAUAUAUGGCACUGGUAAUAGCGAAAGCGUCCUCUUAUGUAAUAACUGACGUUGAGGGACGAAGGCUGUGCGUCGCGAAAAGGAUUAGGUACCCUAGUAGUCUCAGCAGAAAACGAUGAAUGUCAUAGUAUAGAUAAAAUUUGUACUAUAAAUGAAAAUGUAAGCAUUCCACCUUAGGAGUAAUAUGGCAACAUAGGAAUUGAAAUCAUUAGACCGUUUCUGAAAACAGUAGUGGAGUAUGUUGUUUAAUUUGAUAAUCCGCAAAAAACCUUACCAAAACUUGAAUAUAUAGUUAUUUAUACAAGUGCUGCACGGUUGUCUUCAGUUGGUGUCGUGAGAUUAUGGUUGGUUCCAUUUAAUUGACGUAAACCCUUGCUUUAUUUUUUUUUAUAAAGUAGUACACCUUAUGGAUAUGAUAAAAGGGACUAAGACAAGUCCUCAUGGCCUUAAUGUUUUGGGCUUAACGU